UGGGGAAUUUUCCGCAAUGGGCGCAAGCCUGACGGAGCAAGACCGCGUGAGGGAGGAAGGCCCUUGGGUUGUAAACCUCUUUUCUCAGGGAAGAAGCAAGUGACGGUACCUGAGGAAUCAGCCUCGGCUAACUCCGUGCCAGCAGCCGCGGUAAUACGGAGGAGGCAAGCGUUAUCCGGAAUUAUUGGGCGUAAAGCGUCCGCAGGUGGUCGUGCAAGUCUACUGUUAAAGAGUGAAGCUUAACUUCAUAAGGGCCGUGGAAACUGCAUAACUAGAGUACGUUCGGGGCAGAGGGAAUUCCUGGUGUAGCGGUGAAAUGCGUAGAUAUCAGGAAGAACACCGGUGGCGAAAGCGCUCUGCUAGGCCGUAACUGACACUGAGGGACGAAAGCUAAGGGAGCGAAUGGGAUUAGAUACCCCCGUAGUCC
rnacentral:rRNA from 1 species